CCUACGGGUGGCAGCAGUGAGGAAUAUUGGUCAAUGGACGAGAGUCUGAACCAGCCCAGUAGCGUGAAGGAUGACUGCCCUAUGGGUUGUAAACUUCUUUUAUAUGGGAAUAAAAUGUUCCACGUGUGGGAUUUUGUAUGUACCAUAUGAAUAAGAAUCGGCUAACUCCGUGCCAGCAGCCGCGGUAAUAUGGAGGAUCCGAGCGUUAUCCGGAUUUAUUGGGUUUAAAGGGAGCGUAGGUGGAUUGUUAAGUCAGUUGUGAAAGUUUGCGGCUCAACCGUAAAAUUGCAGUUGAAACUGGCAGUCUUGAGUACAGUAGAGGUGGGCGGAAUUCGUGGUGUAGCGGUGAAAUGCGUAGAUAUCACGAAGAACUCCGAUUGCGAAGGCAGUUCACUGGACUGCAACUGACACUGAGGCUCGAAAGUGUGGGUAUCAAACAGGAUUAGAUACCCCAGUAGUC
rnacentral:rRNA from 1 species